CUGGCAACAAAGUGAAGCGAGACGGUGACGUUAAGCAAAUCACAAAAAUAACGUCUCAGUUCGGAUUGUAGUCUGCAACUCGACUACAUGAAGCUGGAAUCGCUAGUAAUCGCGAAUCAGAAUGUCGCGGUGAAUACGUUCCCGGGUCUUGUACACACCGCCCGUCACACCAUGGGAGUCAGUAACGCCCGAAGCCGGUGACCCAACCAAACGGAGGGAGCCGUCGAAGGUGGGACCGAUAACUGGGGUGAAGUCGUAACAAGGUACC
rnacentral:rRNA from 1 species